UACGUAGGGUGCGAGCGUUAAUCGGAAUUACUGGGCGUAAAGCGUGCGCAGGCGGUAAUGUAAGACAGAUGUGAAAUCCCCGGGCUUAACCUGGGACCUGCAUUUGUGACUGCAUUGCUGGAGUGCGGCGAGAGGGGAUGGAAUUCCGGCGUGUAGCAGUGAAAUGCGUAGAUAUGCGGAGGAACACCGAUGGCGAAGGCAAUCCCCUGGGCCUGCACUGACGCUCAUGCACGAAAGCGUGGGGAGCAAACAGG
rnacentral:rRNA from 1 species